AGAUCUCUGGUAAGUGUAACAUGUGAGCAUUACUAGGCAUUUCAUCCUGCGGGUCUGCAGUCUUUGCUCUUCAGACUGUUGCUCCGUUGGAAUGCUUCUGUGGGACCGAUACUGAGGUUCUAUAGAUAUUUUUUAAGGACCUACUCGUUUGGGGAUGUCAGUGGUGUUUUGCAAGAUCAUCUGAGGAACAGGAAAGCAUUUGAAAUCUGAAAAGGAUAACUGUGGCGGUUUUCACAGUGGAAGGAAACUAUAUUGGCAAAGAGGCAGAUGACUGAAUAAAGUAGUUGGCUCAAAGAAGAUGCACAGUCUGCUAUUUUUUUCUCUGAAUGAAGACUGUUUAAUGGAAGCUGUAUUCAUGUGGAGAUCAAAGGAAACACUGGAAUGAUACACUACUAUGUUCCCCCCCCCUUUUUUUUUUUAAAGAAAACAAAAAGCCUGAAGCAGUAAUUUGAGCUCAAAUGCCUUCUAAUUCCUUCACAGCCUGCUUGUUCUACUAGGAUUCUCCACUAACACCAUUUCUGCCUGGUGCCUGUGCCCUUUUGCUGGAGCAGCCACAGACAACUGCCUGAUGGAGAAAGAAUGAACGCUCUGCCUUGCUUAUGCUAUCGAUGGGAAUAAAGCUAACUGUGUUUCUUCUAUUAUAUGGGAAAUCUGGAUUAAUCAAGCUGUAUUCUAGUACCAAGAGUCGUAUUGUCUCUUGUGGUCUGACUCAUCACAUGUAAAUGUACUGCAGCUUUGCUAUUAAUGCAGAGUGGUUUUUUUUUUGUUUUUUUUGUUUGUUUUUUUUUUUUGCCCCUUUCCCAAACACUGAAAGAAUUGUUAACCUCUGAGCUUCAUUUUCAGGAUUUGUGCUGAGCUCUAGAUCUUUUUUCUGUGAAUAGUAUCUGCAUUAAACCAGUGAUGAAGAAAUGAAGACAAAUUAGAAGUGGAAACAGAAUAGUGAGAUUUUAUUUUUUAUUUUCAAUUAUAAGCAAAACAGCUACUGGUAACUAUAUGACCUUGCAGGCAAGAGUGGGUAUCGCUGUGAUCAUCUCUGUCACAGCAGUUGUUUCUCAUUUCAUUCUAUAUUGUGUGGUGUUGUGUCACCAAAAACAAUGAUUGUUUUGUGCAAGUAAAUUUCAGAGAUAGAGCAAUAAGACUAUUUUGGUAGAGGAAAAAUAUUUUUAAAUGAGCUUGGACUCAGUUUUAGUUAUUGACAUGUUGGUGUGAAAUUUCUUCUUAAGUAUUGCAGUAAUCCAACAGAAAUAAUAGAAUUUCAUUAUAUUUAGGAAGUUACAAAUUAUGUAGUCAUAAUUUUAAACUUGUUUUUCCAGUAGUACUUAUUAACUUUAAAAAAAAAAAGAAAACCCAGCUGUGCUGUUCAGAGAAUGUUUGUAAGUGUUGUACAGAAGAGGAGGAAAAACUACUUGUGCUCUUCCAACUGUGACUUUUAUCACAUAGCUUGGAAUUUAGUGUUUUAAAAGAUCGAAUGAGUCGAGUGUGUAUUGUUGUUUUGGAGGAGGUAGAAGAUGAAUCUCCUGCAUUCAUUUCUAAAUUGCCACAGGAAAAUAAAUCCCUACAUUCUCCACCUUCUGGAAAUGUAUUGCCAUCACUGGUGCAAGCUAUAUUUAACGGAGAUCCUGAUGAAGUUCGAGCACUAAUAUUUAAGAAAGAAGAUGUUAACUUUCAGCAGUACUUCUGGAAUAGAAAUUCUAAACAUUAGCCUGCCGAACAACUGGAUUGCAUUUGAUGAUUACAAUUGUCCAGUCACAGAUGGCAUCACCUCUACUUUUUAUUAUUAAUAUUAGUUUUAAUUGCCAAAUCAUAAUUGUAUAUAUUUGUAGAGUACAAUGUAAUAUUUUGGUAUAUGUAUACAAUGUGGGAUGAUUAAAUCAAGCUAAUAUAUCCA
rnacentral:sRNA from 1 species